CCCUUAGAUGUUCUGGGCUGCACGCGCGCUACACUGAUGCACUCAACGAGUUUACGACCUUGCCCGAUAGGGUUGGGUAAUCCUUUUAAAAUGCAUCGUGAUGGGGAUAGAUUAUUGCAAUUAUUAAUCUUCAACGAGGAAUUCCUAGUAAGCGCGAGUCAUCAGCUCGUGCUGAUUACGUCCCUGCCCUUUGUACACACCGCCCGUCGCUCCUACCGAUUGAGUGCUCAGGUGAAUAAUUCGGACUGCAGCAAUGUUUGGAUCCCGAACGUUGCAGCGGAAAGUUUAGUGAACCUUAUCACUUAGAGGAAGGAGAAGUCGUAACA
rnacentral:rRNA from 1 species